GAACUGCGUUUGAACUGGGUGACUAGAGUGUUCAGAGGAGGUAGAAAUCACGUGUAGCAGUGAAAUGCGUAGAGAUGUGGAGGAAUACGAUGCGAAGGCAGCCUCCUGGGAUAACACUGACGUUCAUGCUCGAAAGCGUGGGUAGCAAACAGGAUUAGAUACCCUGGUAGUCACGCCCUAAACGAUGUCAAUUAGCUGUUGGGCAACUUGAUUGCUUAGUAGCGUAGCUAACGCGUGAAAUUGACCGCCUGGGGGAGUACGGUCGCAAGAUUAAAACUCAAAGGAAUUGACGGGGACCCGCACAAGCGGUGGAUGAUGUGGAUUAAUUCGAUGCAACGCGAAGAACCUUACCUGGUCUUGACAUGUACGGAAUCCUCCAGAGACGGAGGAGUGCCUUCGGGAGCCGUAACACAGGUGCUGCAUGGCUGUCGUCAGCUCGUGUCGUGAGAUGUUGGGUUAAGUCCCGCAACGAGCGCAACCCUUGUCAUUAGUUGCCAUCAUUAAGUUGGGCACUCUAAUGAGACUGCCGGUGACAAGCCGGAGGAAGGUGGGGAUGACGUCAAGUCCUCAUGGCCCUUAUGACCAGGGCUUCACACGUCAUACAAUGGUCGGUACAGAGGGUAGCCAAGCCGCGAGGCGGAGCCAAUCUCACAAAACCGAUCGUAGUCCGGAUUGCACUCUGCAACUCGAGUGCAUGAAGUCGGAAUCGCUAGUAAUCGCAGGUCAGCAUACUGCGGUGAAUACGUUCCCGGGUCUUGUACACACCGCCCGUCACACCAUGGGAGUGGGGGAUACCAGAAGUAGGU
rnacentral:rRNA from 1 species